rnacentral:rRNA from 1 species
GACCAGACUCCUACGGGAGGCAGCAGUGGGGAAUAUUGCACAAUGGGGGAAACCCUGAUGCAGCAACGCCGCGUGAGUGAAGAAGUAUUUCGGUAUGUAAAGCUCUAUCAGCAGGGAAGAAGAUGACGGUACCUGACCAAGAAGCCCCGGCUAACUACGUGCCAGCAGCCGCGGUAAUACGUAGGGGGCAAGCGUUAUCCGGAUUUACUGGGUGUAAAGGGAGCGCAGACGGCAGAACAAGUUGGUUGUGAAAUCCCUCGGCUCAACUGAGGAACUGCAACCAAAACUAUUCUCCUUGAGUGUCGGAGAGGAAAGUGGAAUUCCUAGUGUAGCGGUGAAAUGCGUAGAUAUUAGGAGGAACACCAGUGGCGAAGGCGACUUUCUGGACGAUAACUGACGUUGAGGCACGAAAGUGUGGGGAGCAAACAGGAUUAGAUACCCGGGUA